UUUUUUGUCGUUCUUUGAGGUAAUUACGAUUGAGGUGGUUUUUUUUUCCAUUAAGCUGAGUGAGAGAGAGAGAGUUAAUUUUUUUUUUGAAGACGGAGAGUUAACUUUUGUAAAUGAGAUUAGACGCUGGAAUUUGUUAACUGUAGGGAGGUUGACUUGGAAUAAACUGUUUGAAUAUGGAAAGGUAAAGUAGGUGAGGGGAAGAAAAUAAUUCACCUGCUAGUUUAGCUAGUAGGGGAUUGGAUUAGCUUUAAACGCGCGGCCAUUCAUUGAUUGAUGGUAUUUCUUCUUGUUUGAGCUGUUGGUGACUCAGAG
rnacentral:lncRNA from 1 species